UUGACACUGACUGCUGCUUUUUGACUAUGACUCCCCGUACUUCUAGCACUUAUUGAGGAACAUCAAAAGAAACUGUCCUAAAAUCAAGAGAGUAUCACCAACAUUUAGGGGUGUUCAUGGGUCGGUUUGGAUCGGUUGGUGGUUAAAACCAUAACCAAAAUCAAUUUAGACGGUUUUUGAAUUUCUAAAACCAAACCAAACCAAACCAAAAGAAAAAAACAACCGUCGGUUUGGUUCGGUUCUUUUGGUUAUUGACUAGCCUACUCUAUUAAUAUUUACGAGGUCAAUUUUCUCUUCUUCCCAAAUUACUAAAUAAAACAGCAAAAAUAGGUAGACGGAGCAAAAUCGCAAUAGUUAUCAAAAUUACCUUACCGAAAUUCCAAAUAUCAUACCAUACCUUGUCCUACCUAACAAGACUUAGCUUGGUACACUAUACGUUGUGCAUUGCAUAACCAAGCAUUCAUUUUUCUACUUUUUUUUUCCUCUGAUGGUUCCAACUUAGCAUAAGUUUAAUUAUAUUGAACUGUAUAUUUCUUGAAUGAAACUACUUGUUUAGAUUAAAAAUAUAACUAUCAGACACAUUAUUCAUGGUACUCUACUCUACGUUGUUGAGGCUUUGCGGCAUCUAUUUCGGAUCCUCAAAAGUUGAACAGAAUGAAUUGGAGGAUCCAACACGCAUGCAGUUAAGCGUCAUUUUUUGAGAGUCCAAACACCCCAUAGCUCUACUCUAUUAAUAUCUACGAGGUUCACACUCCGUCUGCUGAAUAGUCUUAUGGUACAUCACAUCUACAGAGAACAAAAACAGCCAGAAGAUCUAUUGGCGAUGCUGGCAACCAGAUAGCUUAACAACAACGACACUUCAAUGUAUAUUUUGUGUGCGGAUAGAAAUGGAGUUUUGUCCACUUGACUGGUUAAUGCUAGUGCAGCAUACUCAUCUUUAAUGUAUAAUAUUAACUGUAAUGUGUCGUCUAAUGUACAUAAUGUAUGAUUAGAAAAGAAA